CUUCACCGAGCCCAGCCACAGCGGGCGGCCCUCGGGGCGCUCCUGGCCGUACGUCGCGAUCAGGGCCUGCGCCUC
rfam:Actinoplanes sp. N902-109, complete genome.